rnacentral:rRNA from 1 species
GGAGGAAAGUAGGGGAUCGCAAGACCUUGCGCUUUUGGAGCGGCCGAUGUCUGAUUAGCUAGUUGGUGAGGUAAAGGCUUACCAAGGCGUCGAUCAGUAGCUGGUCUGAGAGGACGACCAGCCACACUGGGACUGAGACACGGCCCAGACUCCUACGGGAGGCAGCAGUGGGGAAUUUUGGACAAUGGGGGAAACCCUGAUCCAGCCAUGCCGCGUGAGUGAAGAAGGCCUUCGGGUUGUAAAGCUCUUUCAGCCGGAACGAAACGGUCACAGCUAAUACCUGUGACUACUGACGGUACCGGAAGAAGAAGCACCGGCUAACUACGUGCCAGCAGCCGCGGUAAUACGUAGGGUGCGAGCGUUAAUCGGAAUUACUGGGCGUAAAGCGUGCGUAGGCGGUUUUGUAAGUCAGAUGUGAAAUCCCCGGGCUUAACCUGGGAACUGCGUUUGAAACUACAAGGCUAG